rnacentral:lncRNA from 1 species
CCAGAUGCAAAAUCAGCACUCCACCACUGAGACAACCAACAGCGAAAAUGCUAGCUCUAAUGUUUUUCAUAUAAGGAGAAAAACAAACACAAAAAUGAGCAUAACAUGAAAAAGUUACAAAUUAUCGGCCGGCUAAAAGCAAUUCCAACCCAAAACAGCGUUCAAAGCCUAACGAAAACUAAAGGUGCAUUUGAUUAUACUUUUAAUUUUAAUUUUUAUUUUAAAAAUAUUUUUUAUUUUUUAAUUUUGUUAUUAAGUAAAAAUAAAAAAAUAAAAAAUAUGUUUGAUAAUUACAUUGUUAUAAAGUAAAAAGCAAUAUUUAGAGAUGGCGGAAAAAAAGUUCAAAAAGAGAAGAAAAAGAGGGUCAAGAGCUCGACGAGGGAGAAAGAUUCGGGUUCUUUACUUUUUGGUUUGGCAUUUUAGACGUACGGGAGUAAGAAAAGCAGAAAAGUAAAUUUUGAAAAGUAAAAAUUUUUGUUUUGCAUAUAAAAUAAUUAUUUUGAUUAUUUUAAAUUUUAUUUUUAUUUUUUUGAUAUUAUCAAAUAUUAUUUUUUAAUUUUUAUUUUUUAAAAAUUAAAAAUAAAAAUAUAUUUUUUAAUAACUAACUAAACGUACCCUAAAUUAAUAUGAAGAAAAAAAAAUAAUAAUUACUUGUAAAACAGAAAGCAAACUAUUACAAUACUAAAAAAGAGAAAGAUCAUUGAGAUGAAUAGAUGAAGUAAACAAAUCCAACACAUCAACCAGCAUCCAAAUCACAGAUUAUGAGUUAGAAAAAGGAAUCAACAACAAACUACCUAUGACACAGACACAAUCCACCAGCAAAAAACACAAUCUUACAUAAAACACAAUAAAAACACAGAAACUCUUUUGCUUUUCACCGACAGCCACUAAACUCACUCUCGGAAACAUCCCAGGACCAAGAAACAGAAACCAAAAGGGACCCAAAAAUACUCCCAGCGAAUCACAAAACAGAGCCCAGAAGCAACAGGCUGAAGCAGAGGUGGCAGCCAGAGAAGGGUAGAAUGGUAAAUAAAGGAAGGAUUUUGGGGGAAGGGGAAGACCUCUUGGAGGGUACAUGUCCCCUUUCUUGAAGCCAUUCGCUCCUCCUACCUCCUUUCUUCCUCUCCUCCUCCUCCUCCUCCUCCCACCUUUGCUCUGUCUCCCUUCUUUUGAAAUGAACCAAAUAAAAACAAACACAUAAAGCCUUCAUUAGUACCCCUCAGUCUAUUUCUCCCGACCCUUUGUUCCAUCAGAUUUUGAGCAUGUGACAGACAGAUCUAGGCAUAAACAACAUGAAAUCCUCAUACAAGCGGACAAAUCGAAGGCUUACAUCCAAUCAAAAGUAAAAUUCAGGCAUGAAUCUAACAAAAAGCAAGAAAUUUAUGUGGAUCCAAGCACGGAGCCACGGAGAUCUACUGACAUGAUCAGGAUCAAUUAGGGUUAGGGUUAAAGAACUUAUCGGAGAUGAUCGGGAUGCCAGAGUCAAUCCGAAAGGUUAAAAUAGUGAUCAAAGCACCGGGGCUUAACAUAUUGUUCGGAUUGAAGUUACACGGGUCAUGAAGGGUGGGGAGGAAGGGUAAAGAAUGAAUCUCUGUUUG